GACGAACCGUGCAAACGUUGUUCGGAUUCACUGGGCUUAAAGGGCGCGUAGGCGGGUGGUCAAGUCAGGGGUGAAAUCCUCCAGCUCAACUGGAGAACAGCUUUUGAUACUGGCCAUCUUGAGGGAGGUAGGGGCAUGUGGAACUUCCGGUGGAGCGGUGAAAUGCGUAGAUAUCGGAAGGAACGCCGGUGGCGAAAGCGACGUGCUGGACCUUUUCUGACGCUGAGGCGCGAAAGCCAGGGGAGCAAACGGG
rnacentral:rRNA from 1 species